UACGUAGGUCCCGAGCGUUGUCCGGAUUUAUUGGGCGUAAAGCGAGCGCAGGUGGUUUAUUAAGUCUGGUGUAAAAGGCAGUGGCUCAACCAUUGUAUGCAUUGGAAACUGGUAGACUUGAGUGCAGGAGAGGAGAGUGGAAUUCCAUGUGUAGCGGUGAAAUGCGUAGAUAUAUGGAGGAACACCGGUGGCGAAAGCGGCUCUCUGGCCUGUAACUGACACUGAGGCUCGAAAGCGUGGGGAGCAAACCGG
rnacentral:rRNA from 2 species